rnacentral:rRNA from 1 species
UACGUAGGGUGCAAGCGUUGUCCGGAAUUAUUGGGCGUAAAGAGCUCGUAGGCGGUCUGUCGCGUCUGCUGUGAAAACUCAGGGCUUAACCCUGAGCUUGCAGUGGGUACGGGCAGACUAGAGUGCGGUAGGGGAGACUGGAAUUCCUGGUGUAGCGGUGAAAUGCGUAGAUAUCGGAAGGAACACCAGUGGCGAAAGCGGCUUCCUGGUCCAGCACCGACGUUCAGGCACGAAAGCGUGGGGAGCAAACAGG